UACGUAGGGUGCGAGCGUUAAUCGGAAUUACUGGGCGUAAAGCGUGCGCAGGCGGUUCGCUAAGACCGAUGUGAAAUCCCCGGGCUUAACCUGGGAACUGCAUUGGUGACUGGCGGGCUAGAGUGUGGCAGAGGGGGGUAGAAUUCCACGUGUAGCAGUGAAAUGCGUAGAGAUGUGGAGGAAUACCGAUGGCGAAGGCAGCCCCCUGGGCUAACACUGACGCCCAUGCACGAAAGCGUGGGGAGCAAACAGG
rnacentral:rRNA from 1 species